UACGUAGGGUGCGAGCGUUAAUCGGAAUUACUGGGCGUAAAGCGUGCGCAGGCGGCCUUGCAAGACAGAUGUGAAAUCCCCGGGCUUAACCUGGGAACUGCGCUUGUAACUGGCAAGCUGGAGUGUGGCAGAGGGGGGUGGAAUUCCGACGUGUAGCAGUGAAAUGCGUAGAGAUGUGGAGGAACACCGAUGGCGAAGGCAGCCCCCUGGGCUAACACUGACGCUCAUGCACGAAAGCGUGGGGAGCAAACAGG
rnacentral:rRNA from 1 species